GGUAUUAAGAUAAUGACUUUGCAAAUUAUGACUUACAGUUUUUCAAUCAUGAGAUAUUAUGGAUUGGCCCAAAGGUGCACCACUUUCAAAUGAUUGAUUUGCUGAGUUAGGAUAAUUAAUGAGUAUCCUUGAUUUAAUAGGUAUUGGAUGCUCAAAGGCAACAAACCUAUUUGAAUUUUGGACCUAUAUCAUUAAUUAUUCCUAGGUGAAUUGGGAAUCACCAUAAUAGUAAUUUAGUAUUUCAUAAUUACAACCCAAAGGUGUAUUAUGGUAAUACUGUUUAUGUUAUUCAUCAUUAUUGCUAACUCAAAGUGUUAAUGUUGUAAGCAUUUUCUUAUUGUUAAU
rnacentral:lncRNA from 1 species